AUUGGGACAUGUUGAUUGAUGUUGUAAGAUAAAAUAUUCGUGACCAACUAUAUUCAUUGGGUUUGGCUUGUCGAACCCGUACUACUGCUGCUGCAGUCAGCCAACAAUGAUUAGCAUUUUGCUGAAAUUGCUGCUGGCCUGCUACUGCCUCUGCACGAGCUGAGCGCCUGCUGCUGACGUCACCACUCACGUUGCACUAUUGCAGCCAGGCACGUGUGUUGUGACUGAGUAAAUCGUUUUUGUGUUAUUUAGAGGGAAAAUGCGUGCAUUUUAGCGUUUGAGUCACUGUGUUUUUGACCAACUCGUAAAACAGCUGGAGGAAACAAUGCUCUACAUCACAUGUUUACGAGGAAGUCCAAAAGUUCAAAAUUAAGAUACUUCAGCAGAAACAGGAGAGCUUUUUGGGAUACCAGACCAAGCAUCUGAUGGACAAACAAUUGUCAGCACAACGGUCCAAGCAGCAACAGGACUUUGUGAAGUUCUAUGACACUGUCAUUACAUACAUUGACAAGUGGUUUGAUUUUUCGCCAGAAAAUGAAACCGAUCGGCCUCUAUGAGGAGCUCUCCUUCACUGACCUGGAGCAGGUGGUGGUUGCCCUCAAAAUGACAGUCGGUAUGGACCAACUCUAAUGAAGAGUUUUGUGCUAGCCUGGAGGAAAUACAGAAAGCCAGACAGGAUACCACAAAAUCCACCAGUGAGAACUAGGGACAAAGGACUGCUUUGAAUCAGUCAAGAGCAGCAAAAUAUAAGUAGACUUAGGAUGUUGGCCUUUGGAGCAUGGGGCUGAUGACAAUGCUCAGGAAAAAAAUGAGGCCUCAUCUCCCUGCACAACUCAGCCUCAUACGGGCACAUGCAUAUUGCGGCCUUCCUGAUCAAGUUCAAUACCCAAGUGAACGAAACAGACAAGUGAGCCUUCAACCCUCUCCACAAGGACCUGAGCCCUAGGACCAUGCCCCAGGACUACCUGACAUGAUGACUCCUUGCUGUCCCCAGUCCACCUGGCCAUGCUGCUGCUCCAGUUUCAACUGUUCUGCCUUACUAUUAUUCAACCAUGCUGGUCAUUUAUGAACAUUUGAACAUCUUGGCCACGUUCUGUUAUAAUCUCUACCCGGCACAGCCAGAAGAGGACUGGCCACCCCACAUAUGCUCUCUCUAAUUCUCUCUUUCUUUCUCUCUCUCGGAGGACCUGAGCCCUAGGACCGUGCCCCAGGACUACCUGACAUGAUGACUCCUUGCUGUCCCCAGUCCACCUGACUGUGCUGCUGCUCCAGUUUCAACUGUUCUGCCUUAUUAUUAUUCGACCAUGCUGGUCAUUUAUGAACAUUUGAACAUCUUGGUCAUGUUCUGUUAUAAUCUCUACCCGGCACAGCCAGAAGAGGACUGGCCACCCCACAUAGCCUGGUUCCUCUCUAGGUUUCUUCCUAGGUUUUGGCCUUUCUAGGGAGUUUUUCCUAGCCACCGUGCUUUUACACCUGCAUUGUUUGCUGUUUGGGGUUUUAGGCUGGGUUUCUGUACAGCACUUUGAGAUAUCAGCUGAUGUACGAAGGGCUAUAUAAAUAAAUUUGAUUUGAUUUGAUAAAAGGUCGAAAGUGGGAACAAAAAAAAUGUAGUACUUACGAUUCUGUCCAAUCUUCACAAAAUUCAUCAGGGAUGAAUUGUGUAAGGCUGGAUGGCGAACAAUGCAUUUCAAUGUGACUCUCCUCUUGUAGGACUGAACAUGCAAGAUAUCCAGGGAGGAAUAUGUGUUUUUGUCCAACAGAUACUGAGGCUGAGCUAAAUAACAGCAGAGAGGUUCAAUUAACUUUUGACUGAAAGUGUAAAAAUUGAAUAUGUAAAAGAACAUUAACAACCAUCAUCCUUAUAAUAGCUGACCUGCACUUUACAGGGAAAAUACAGACAUUUCACUUCUCUUUAUUUUGGAAGAGAUAAAGGGGAAUGUGUGUGGGAUUUGGUUUCACAGGGGAAGUCUAAACCAUUUUAAGGCAUUUCAUUUUUUAUAUUUUCUAUAUCUCAUCACACAAUUCUCAGUCUCCUACUCCAAGUAUUUUCCUAUUCUAUUUUUCACUUGUUUUAUAUUUAUAAUUCCCACAAGCCACGACAAUGGCUGUUAUUAUUUGUCAAAUACGGUAGUGAAUGACAGGGCAGGGAAGCGAACCCAGGUUAGUGGCAUGAGAGGCAAACACCCUACACAUCGUGCCAAUAUGGUUAAUCCACUUGGUGGGAAAUUGUAAUGUGGCUCAUAUAGCAAGGAUUGCUACUCUGCCCCCUCUGAACGGAAAGGUACAUCUUUGUGUUUCAACCUACCGCUAACCCUUCAUACGUCCGGCCGUGUGUUACGAUAGCCUCACAGCCGUCAUUGCACUUCUGACACCAAUGUAGGGAAACGUGACUCAUAUAGCUAGGAUCGCCACAAUACUAAUAUGGGACUACACAAUUCAGUUUGACUCUUCACUCUUCCUAAUGGUUAUGGAAUAGGUUAGGUAGUUUAGUUCUUAGGAGCACAAUUAGACACCACUACCCCUUCCACACUCCAUCCCCAGGUGGCAGUAGCAACUGGGUCAGGGGGUGUGCUCUGAUAGGAAGUCUUAAGUGUUGGUUGUGCACAGGUGUGCACAGUAAUCGAUUCUAAACAAUCUGAUAGCUGCAUAGAUUUUUUUAUGAACUGGCGAUAGUUCGAGUUUAAAGUGGAGGGAGUGCAGGGUUUAGCAGGUCUCUCAAGUAAGCUAAAAAGAGGUUUCGGAUUGGAAAAGUUAAAUAUUUUCAGAAGAAGUCGGUAAUUGGUUAAGGCAGGAGGAUUUGGAGGGAAAGAGAGGAGGUUGAAAAGACUGAGGGAGGCAGAGGAUGGGUUUAUAUUUGUUGAAGCUAGCAAUAACAAGGGAGAGGGUAUGUUGAGGAAGAUUUGUGUCAAGAUCAAACAGUGAGCCAGAUGCCAGUUUUGAGUUCUGGAGGAAAAAUGGAAGGGGUAGAAGGUGUUGUAAGACAUGGUGAUGAUAAAGACAAGGGAUAGGCCAAUGAGUGAUCUAUGUUUCAGUAAGGUUGGCUUCUUAGCGUUCAUAGCAAUGGUUAUCAACUGUACCGCAGAGAUGAAACGUAAGUCACAGAUGCAGAGAAGUACUUGGGGCUGCGUGAUUUGACUUCAGACUGCGUGGCAGGUUGACCAGCUGUUACUCAUAAUCGGUCGACCUCUAGUCGGUAAUGCAACAUAUUGGAUGCCAACUGUCGUUGAACUCCACCAAAGAAGAAGGUGUGGCAGCUGGCAGAGCCAUGAGGCUGCUGGAGUUUAGUGCCCAUGUGAACCUUUGGUUUGGUUUGAGUCUUUAUGUUUUCGGCAUGCCAUGUUUUUUCAUUUUUUGUGUGUAUACAAUUAUUUGUUGGUCAUGCACCGUUUUUGUUUACAUAAAUCACUUGGGCUGGCCGAGCAAGGAGUCAAGACAGAGCUGGCCCUGAACUUUAAGUUUGCCGUCUCCUGGAGCACAUGCAUUCAACACCUUUUCACAUGAAUUUUGGCGUCAUAAAACCUAUGAAAUAAAUCUAGAAUGAAGGACACUUACCAUAUAUUUCUAACCCACUCUCCAACAGCCAUGAGAUUUUGGGAGGAUGGCCAUUUCCCACUGCAGAACAUUUUAUGGCAGUCUUUCCAUUGUGUUCUGUUAUCUCCAAUUUUGGCUUACCUUGACAAUGACAAAAAGAGUGAUGUUAUGAUUUUUGGUUUCAACUUAAUUUGUUGGAAGUGGGAACAAGCCAAGCACUCUACCUCCUGUGCCAAUAUGAAUAUUCUACUAAAUUAAGGGGAAGGCUGUGUGCUUUCUUAAUCCCUAUAAAACAGUGCUAUUACAAUAUGUUACACUUACCCAAAACUGUCACAUUAACCCACUUCACUACAGGUACUUUGUGAAUGUAAUGUAAACAUGUGUAGAGGCCUCCAUCUUUGAAGGUGACAUCAGACACACUGACUGAAAAAACGGAGUCAGACAAGUUUAUUAUCUUGUAGCGCUUGUCCUUCAGGGCUGUUAGUGAAGAUGGGGGAGAGAGGAGGCAUGUCACAAUAUAACUCAACUACUUAAGAUCCGAACAAAGAUGUUACAAUAUGAGUAGGAACAAACAUAUUUACUUGUAUCAUGUACAACUAUUAUCAUUCUAGACAGCAUUUCAUGGUAAAGUCUACACCCGUUGUGACAAAUACAAUUUAAUUUGAAUUUUAAUCAGCUUUCGACAUGAAUAAAAUCAACUCCUGUAUGUCUAAUUUACUGGGCAUCCAGUCUACUUUCAAAUUAAGAUACUGCUUUGUUUUAGUAUAUAAAAUACAUCUUAAUAAAUAUCUAUAGGUGGUAUUAUAAGAUCCUCACCCUUCUGGUUAUUAAAAAACAUAACAUGCCCAUCAGGAUUCUUCCAUUCCACGUGGCUCCCUUCGGCAUUUCUAAUGCGACACUUCAUGGUUAGUGUCUCACCCUCCAUCACAGUCAAAUGUUCCACUGCAAUGGAUCCUGCAAUGGUAAAUUCCAAGGAUUUAGUAUAGGACAUACUUUGAUUGACAUGAUGGAAGGUUCCAACAUGUGUGAGAGCAAAAUUACAAGAUUAUGUUAUAAAUACUGUUAUUCCAUCAAAUGGUUGUUUUAUGCAACAGGGGGUUCUUAGAACUUAAUUGUGUCUGUGUGAACUGAGAUUGGGCCUCUGGGGGCUUAAUGCUGACAGAAGAUGUACAAUGCCUUAGGUGAUAAAGCAAACAAUUCCAUAGCAUGAGUUGGUGUUUGUGUGCUGGGAGGUACCAGGGUAGAGAUGACUCCAGUAUGGAUAAUUAUGAGAGGAACCUUGUUUUGGGAGCCAGGCCCUGGUUUCUAUACAAUGAGAACAGUCUUAACUGCAGGUGCUGUCUGUGAAUUAUUAGUAUCUUUCAUAGGAAUCCCAACCUUGUGACCCAUUCCACACUUCUUUUGUUUGUCAUGUAGACUAAGGGGGUGUAUCUUUGCUAUAAAAAGGUGUUGUAUUCUUUGUGUCGGGGCUCUCAAUGAAUCAUCUAAGAGUGAUUCGUCGACCAGCCAUCGUUAUUGUAGAGCACUCACAUCAUUCACUUGUGGGUGUGGUGUGACAUGCUUUCCUUAUAAAUACGUGAAUAAAGAUUUAGUUUAAGUAUAA